GGGCUUCUUAUGAUGAGGUAUCCCCUGCCCUCCGAAGGCAGAGGUCACAAGUUCGAAUCUUGUCGGGCGCGCCA
rnacentral:tRNA from 1 species